CCGAGUGAGGGCCCUCUGGGUCCAACCUCCCACCCGUGUUUAUUAUACCUUGUUGCUUUGGCGGGCCCGCCUCACGGCCGCCGGGGGGCUUUUUGCCCCCGGGCCCGUGCCCGCCGAAGACACCUAGAACUCUGUCUGAAGAUUGUCGUCUGAGUACAAAUAUAAAUUAUUUA
rnacentral:misc_RNA from 1 species